AGAAUGGUGGACUGGUUGUUCUUGCUGCAAGUUUUCGGCACUAUGUUUUCAAGGACUCAUACAAGCUCAUUUUUUAAGACAAUGAACAAUCCUUUGGGCUUUUAUUCAAAAUAAUUACAAUUUUGCAAAGAGGGAUUGGAUGGAAGUACAACCAAAUGAGCAGCCUCCAUGGUCAAAAUCGAGUCAUUGGUCAGGGGAAACUACAGCUUGGAAGAUGUGUGGCCUUAUAUCAUCGAUUUUCAAACACGUCAAUCUUGUUGUCAUCGAUCUUCAGUAGACUUUGUAAGUAGAAUCAAUAUUAUAUAAUGCAUUUAUUACAUAUGUUACCAGA